GACGAACCGCACGAACGUUAUUCGGAAUCACUGGGCUUAAAGGGUGCGUAGGCGGCGCGACAAGUUGGGUGUGAAAUCCCUCGGCUCAACCGAGGAACUGCGCCCAAAACUGUCGUGCUCGAGGGAGACAGAGGUGAGCGGAACUUAGGGUGGAGCGGUGAAAUGCGUUGAUAUCCUAAGGAACACCGGUGGCGAAAGCGGCUCACUGGGUCUCUUCUGACGCUGAGGCACGAAAGCUAGGGUAGCGAACGGG
rnacentral:rRNA from 1 species